rnacentral:rRNA from 1 species
GACGAACGCUGGCGGCGUGCUUAACACAUGCAAGUCGAACGGAAAGGCCCUGCUUUUGUGGGGUGCUCGAGUGGCGAACGGGUGAGUAACACGUGAGUAACCUGCCCUUGACUUUGGGAUAACUUCAGGAAACUGGGGCUAAUACCGGAUAGGAGCUCCUGCUGCAUGGUGGGGGUUGGAAAGUUUCGGCGGUUGGGGAUGGACUCGCGGCUUAUCAGCUUGUUGGUGGGGUAGUGGCUUACCAAGGCUUUGACGGGUAGCCGGCCUGAGAGGGUGACCGGCCACAUUGGGACUGAGAUACGGCCCAGACUCCUACGGGAGGCAGCAGUGGAGAAUAGUGCACAGUGGGCGGAAGCCUGAUGCAGCAACGCCACGUGCGGAAUGACGGCCUUCGGGUUGUAAACCGCUUUCGCCUAUGACGAAGCGUGAGUGACGGUAAUGGGUAAAGAAGCACCGGCUAACUACGUG